UCUCAGUUGUGAGGGCACAUGACGGC
rnacentral:piRNA from 1 species